UACAGAGGUCUCAAGCGUUGUUCGGAUUCAUUGGGCGUAAAGGGUGCGUAGGCGGCGCGGUAAGUCGGGUGUGAAAUCCCGCGGCUCAACCGUGGAACUGCCUCAGAUACUGACGGUCUCGAGGGAGGUAGGGGCGAGCGGAACUGAUGGUGGAGCGGUGAAAUGCGUUGAUAUCAUCAGGAACUCCGGUGGCGAAGGCGGCUCGCUGGACCUCUUCUGACGCUGAGGCGCGAAAGCCAGGGGAGCAAACGGG
rnacentral:rRNA from 1 species